AUUGAACGCUGGCAGCAGGCCUAACACAUGCCAGUCGAGCGGAUGAAGGGAGCUUGCUCCUGGAUUCAGCGGCGGACGGGUGAGUAAUGCCUAGGAAUCUGCCUGGUAGUGGGGGAUAACGUCCGGAAACGGGCGCUAAUACCGCAUACGUCCUGCGUGAUAAAGUUGGUGAUCUUCGGACCUCACGCUAUCAGAUGAUCCUAGGUCGGAUUAGCUAGUUGGUGGGGUAAAGGCCUACCAAGGCGACGAUCCGUAACUGGUCUGAGAGGAUGAUCAGUCACACUGGAAAUGAGACACGGUCCAGACUCCUACGGGAGGCAGCAGUGGGGAAUAUUGGACAAUGGGCGAAAGCCUGAUCCAGCCAUGCCGCGUGUGUGAAGAAGGUCUUCGGAUUGUAAAGCACUUUAAGUUGGGAGGAAGGGCAGUAAGUCAAUACCUUGCUGUUUUGACGUUACCAACAGAAUAAGCACCGGCUAACUUCGUG
rnacentral:rRNA from 1 species